rnacentral:rRNA from 1 species
UAAGGAAUAUUGGUCAAUGGACGAAAGUCUGAACCAGCCAUGCCGCGUGGAGGAUGAAGGUCCUCUGGAUUGUAAACUUCUUUUAUUUGGGACGAAAAAAGAUCAUUCUUGAUCACUUGACGGUACCAGAUGAAUAAGCACCGGCUAACUCCGUGCCAGCAGCCGCGGUAAUACGGAGGGUGCAAGCGUUAUCCGGAUUUACUGGGUUUAAAGGGUGCGCAGGCGGAUAUGUAAGUCAGUGGUGAAAUCUCUAGGCUUAACCUGGAAAUUGCCGUUGAUACUAUAUAUCUUGAAUGCUGUGGAGGUAAGCGGAAUAUGUCAUGUAGCGGUGAAAUGCUUAGAUAUGACAUAGAACACCUAUUGCGAAGGCAGCUUACUACGCAGAUAUUGGCGCUCAGGCACGAAAGCGUGGGGAUCAAACAG